UAUUCCACUGACAGACCAAUGUGCCGCCAUCCGUCAGACCAAUAUCAGAAAAGGAAUUUUUAAUAAAUGUGUCUGUCAAGCAGCUCAUGAGUGCAAUGGACAGCCGUUUAGAGGAAUGUUGAAGCGGACGUGGAAAUUGCUUUAUGGAAAUGACAACUUUAAAUUGUAAUCAACAUUAAACUAUUUUUGGUUCAGUUCUCCAGGAAAAAAAUGGGCAUCAUACUUAUUUCAUUAUGCCACUAGAUUGAGCACGGGACGUCUGAGAGUGGAUAUAUAAAGCGGUGGUAAAAGCGUUGACCACCACAGGACUCUGGCCGUCUUCGUCGCAUCUCCUUUCUUUGCAUCCAUCCUAGAGCUUUCUAGUCGAAGACAUGGACUGCUUGCUUGGGAAAUACGUCUUCGUGGUGGUUGCGGCCGCAUUCGCUAUGCUGAUUAUGGCCCCAAAUGAAGCUGGGGCAUUUCCACUCAGUAUAUAUGAAACUAUUGAAAAGGCCAAGGGACGAAUAGAAGACAACGUCGAGUGACGAAGCAUCAGUCUUCCUGACACAGUGCGACUGGCUUGCGUUCCAUUCAGGACACCUGCUUCAUAACUGAAUAAAAUGAA